AGAAGGCGCUAGGAGCAAAGGAAAGUGGUUUUUCUAACAAACUCAUAUAAUCAAGUGCACAACGUACUCCAAUUUGAUUUUUUUCACAUAGUUAGACAUAAUAUAGUACUAAGAAAUGUUUCUGACCCAAAAAUAUUACGAAAUAUGAUUGUUUACAUUAAAGUGCAAAAGUUGAUGAAAAAGUAUGAUUAAAGUGAAAAAAGUGACAUUUUAUGUCUAGAAAGUGACUUUUCAUCAAAAGUACAAUUACAAAACUAGUUCCCAUUCAUCCUGUGUCUCCAUGCACACUUGUG
ensembl:lncRNA